CUGUGUGUGACUGUGUGUGACUGUGUGUGACUGUGCGUAAAGAUGCAAGACUGUGCUUGAUGUGAGACUCUGCGUAAAGAUGUGAGAGACUGUGUGUAAGACUGUGCAAAACUGCUUUUAAGACUGUGCGUGAGACUGUGCUUGAGACUUUGCAUGAGACUGUGCGUGAAGAUGUGAGACUCUGGGUGAAGAUGCAAGAUGCGUGAGAGUGUGCAAGACUGUGUGAGACUGCGUUAGACUUUGUGAAAAUGAGUAAGAAUCUGCGAUAAGGUUUGAACUGCGUGAGACUGUGCGUGGGACUGUUUGAGACUCUGCAUGAAGAUGCGAGACAGUGUGAGACUGCGUGAAAAAAUGCGAGACUGUGAGACUGUUUUUGAGACUGUGUGUGAGACUGCAUUAGACUGUAUAUGAAGGUGAAAGACUCGGUGAGACUGUGCGAGACUGUUUUUGAGACUGUGUGAGACUGUGUGUGAGACUGCAUUAGACUGUGUGUGAAAGGGCAAGACUCUCGGUGAGACUUUGCGAGACUGUUUUUGAGACUGUGUGAGACUGCAUUAGACUGUGUGUGAAGGGGCAAGACUCUCGGUGAGACUGUGUGAGACUGCGUGUGAGACUGUGUGAGACUGUGUGAGACUGCAUUAGACUGUGUGUGAAAGUGAAAGACUGUGUAAAGCUGUGUAAAGCUUUGUGACUGAGUGAAGGUGCGAGACUGUGUGAGACUGCAAAGCUUUUUGAAACUGCAAGACAGCAUUAGACUCUGUAUGAAGGUACGAUACUAGGGAUGCAAAUGAUUAAUCGACUUUAGAUUAAUUGUCGAUCAAGAGGUUGCUCGAAUAAAAUGUAUUACUCGCGAUUAAUCGCUAGAGGGCGCUACUGUAGUAACUUGAACAGAGCGUGAGAACGAGAGGUGAACACGACUCGCGGGAGACCAGGGUUGAAAACAAAAUGAAGCGGGCGAAAAUAAGUGCGGUGUGGGACCAUUUCAACAGUGUUAAUUUAGGCAAAGAAGUCAAAUGUUCUCUGUGUAAUGCGGUAUUGAAAUACAACAGUUCCACUAGCUCACUCAGUUAUCAUUUGAACACCGUCACAGUUUCACUGAGAGCGCGAGCGUGUGAUGAGAGAAGGGCGGAGGACAUUACAGAGAGGAUAUGCAGCAUGAUCAAGAGAGAUUUGAUGCCAAUCAAGACAGUUGACGGUACAGGGUUUCAGGAUCUCAUUGCAUUGAGGAUUGUUGAGGAUUUCCUAAUUAAUAGCCUAGAUGCAGUUUCUUCAUAAUCUAUAGGCUCAAUAAUAAUCUGUUUGGCUCUCUAUUUAAUUUCUUCUAUUCUUUUUUUUUUUUUUUUUAAUAUGUCUAAUGGUACAAAAACGCAAAAACUGAUUUUUAUUUAUUUCUUU